rnacentral:sRNA from 1 species
GAGACACAUCCCACAGUGCCUGCCUUGCUGUGGGCUCCUUUGAUGCUAGAGAAGCCUCUUUGAACUGUUGACUCCAUUGGAAGUCACCAGUUGUACAGAGCAGUCAGGAUGGCUGGAUACCUGGGCCUGACUCACCCUCUGCCUCCUGACUGUGUCCACUAGGUCCUGCAGAAGAGGCUCUCACCACAGGUCCACCGUGUUUCCCAGUCUCUCUGUGUUAAUUCCAUGGACGGGUGUCUGAACAUGGCUGAUAGUCUGCUUUAGCCCAUCCUCAGUAGCACCCUGAGCAUGUUGUGUUUGAGCACACAACAAUAUCCAGUGGAGAAGUUUUCUUCUACAUUCUUACUUAGGAAGGAGACACAGAUUAGUGCUCUCCAAGAGGGCAGUCAAGUUCAAAAUCACUAAAAAGAAAAAGAUCUCACUAACUUGGGAGAAGAUGGAGAAGGAUUUGCCAAUCAGGGGGAAGGCUCUGAUCGCAGUAGAGAAAGAAAGAAGAAUGGAUAGAUGUGGCUUGGAAAAGGAGAAUCUGUGAAAAUGAGAAGAAACUGUGAUCAGAAUAUGUUCUAUGAAAAAUGUCUUAAAUAAAAAAAUCUAUUGGGUAAAACGAAUAUUUUUAACAUAAACUGCCAAUAUUGGGAAUAUGUUACAGAGUCUGAGGGAACUGUUUGCUUAUUAUCUGAGUUCUUAAAGGAUGACUUAAAAACCAGCUGCUAGAUCUAAUUUUAUAGCUAGGAAGUUGGUGGACAUUUGUGAUUCUAUCCUUCAGGAGGUAGAGACAAGAAGAU